rnacentral:rRNA from 1 species
AGUGAACGCUGGCGGCAGGCCUAAUACAUGCAAGUCGAACGGCAGCACAGGAGAGCUUGCUCUGUGGGUGGCGAGUGGCGGACGGGUGAGGAAUACGUGGGAAUCUGCCCAGUCGUGGGGGAUAACGUAGGGAAACUUACGCUAAUACCGCAUGCGCCCUUUGGGGGAAAGCCGGGGAUCUUCGGACCUGGCGCGAUUGGAUGAGCCCACGUCGGAUUAGCUAGUUGGAGGGGUAAAGGCCCACCAAGGCGACGAUCCGUAGCUGGUCUGAGAGGAUGAUCAGCCACACUGGAACUGAGACACGGUCCAGACCCCUACGGGAGGCAGCAGUAGGGAAUAUUGGACAAUGGGCGCAAGCCUGAUCCAGCCAUGCCGCGUGAGUGAAGAAGGCCCUCGGGUUGUAAAGCUCUUUUGUUGGGGAAGAAAAGCCUUGGGUUAAUACCCUGAGGUUCUGACGGUACCCAAAGAAUAAGCACCGGCUAACUUCGUGCCAGCCGCCGCGGUAA